rnacentral:rRNA from 1 species
AGUGAACGCUGGCGGUAGGCCUAACACAUGCCAGUCGAACGGCAGCACAGUAAGAGCUUGCUCUUACGGGUGGCGAGUGGCGGACGGGUGAGGAAUACAUCGGAACCUACUUUUUCGUGGGGGAUAACGUAGGGAAACUUACGCUCAUACCGCAUACGACCUACGGGUGAAAGCAGGGGAUCUUCGGACCUUGCGCGAUUGAAUGAGCCGAUGUCGGAUUAGCUAGUUGGCGGGUUAAAGGCCCACCAAGGCGACGAUCCGUAGCUGGACUGAGAGGAUGAUCAGCCACACUGGAACUGAGACACGGUCCAGACUCCUACGGGAGGCAGCAGUGGGGAAUAUUGGACAAUGGGCGCAAGCCUGAUCCAGCCAUACCGCGUGGGUGAAGAAGGCCUUCGGGUUGUAAAGCCCUUUUGUUGGGAAAGAAAAGCAGCAGGUUAAUACCCCGCUGUUCUGACGGUACCCAAAGAAUAAGCACCGGCUAACUUCGUG